UACAGAGGUCUCAAGCGUUGUUCGGAUUCAUUGGGCGUAAAGGGUGCGUAGGUGGCGCCGUAAGUCGGGUGUGAAAUCUCAGGGCUCAACCCUGAAACUGCAUUCGAUACUGCGUGGCUAGAGUGCUGGAGAGGAGACUGGAAUUUACGGUGUAGCAGUGAAAUGCGUAGAUAUCGUAAGGAAGACCAGUGGCGAAGGCGAGUCUCUGGACAGCAACUGACGCUGAGGCACGAAGGCCAGGGGAGCAAACGGG
rnacentral:rRNA from 1 species